rnacentral:tRNA from 1 species
UCGGGCGGCUGGUCAGCCGGCUGCGGUGAUCCGAUGCCUUGACGGCGCCGGCCAGUUUAAUCGCAUCCAGGUAGCCGGGUUCGAACCGCCGGCCGCCCGGGC